rnacentral:rRNA from 1 species
CCUAACGGGAGGCUGCAGUAGGGAAUCUUCCACAAUGGGCGCAAGCCUGAUGGAGCAACACCGCGUGAGUGAAGAAGGGUUUCGGCUCGUAAAGCUCUGUUGUUGGAGAAGAACGUGCGUGAGAGUAACUGUUCACGCAGUGACGGUAUCCAACCAGAAAGUCACGGCUAACUACGUGCCAGCAGCCGCGGUAAUACGUAGGUGGCAAGCGUUAUCCGGAUUUAUUGGGCGUAAAGCGAGCGCAGGCGGUUGUUUAGGUCUGAUGUGAAAGCCUUCGGCUUAACCGAAGAAGUGCAUCGGAAACCGGGCGACUUGAGUGCAGAAGAGGACAGUGGAACUCCAUGUGUAGCGGUGGAAUGUGUAGAUAUAUGGAAGAACACCAGUGGCGAAGGCGGCUGUCUGGUCUGCAACUGACGCUGAGGCUCGAAAGCAUGGGUAGCGAACAGGAUUAGAUACCCGAGUAGUC